AAGUCGUAACAAGGUAACCGUAGGUGAACCUGCGGUUGGAUCAUUAAAAGAAGGGUCGGGAUCAUCGUGGUCCAAGUGGUCCGUCCACUUGGACCACGAUGAUACCGGUGAUCCCGGAGGAAGGAAGCAGGGGCGGGUUGCUCAGGCAUCCCCUGCUCUGCUUUUUGUCCCCACGUUGUGUGAGUUUUUUUAGUUUUUUUUUUUUACUUGUCCUCUGGACGCAAAACCAAAGAAAACAACUUUUGGCAACGGAUCUCUUGGCUCUC
rnacentral:misc_RNA from 1 species